GUUGAGGAGAAAGGAGAGAAUGAGGGCAUAGGCAUACAGGGAGAGCUUUAAUUCUGACUUCCUGUGUUUCUAAAUAAGAAAGGUACAGUGUGUAAGUGCGUGGAUGUGCGUCAGCAACAAGGACGAAUGGUGCUGGGGGAAGCUUUACACAAGCUGACUUUUAAUUUUAAUAUGUGUAGCUUCUUGACUCCAAUGGGGGCUAUCACUGUCCUCCUUUCCAAACUAUAUUAUCUUCUAAUAAUAGAAAUUUUUGGCAACUCUUUCUGAGCUGAUUAAAUAUCAGUGACCUAGUCUUAUUGUAUUCCAUUUUUAAAAUAUAUUUUUUAAAAUUUUAGAUUUAUAUAUAUUACAUAUGUAAAUUUUAUAUUUGUAUUUUAAAUUUAAACUUGAGAAUUCCUCAAGUUAAGAAAUUUUAGGGCUUAGGGUUGGGGAGAUGGCUUAGUCAGUAAAGUGCACGCCACACAAACACGAAGACCUAAGUUUGAAUCCCAGUAACCCAUGCAAAAGAAACAUAGACACUUGUAAUCUCAGAGCUGGGGAGUAGAAACAAGGAGAUCCCUGGGUCUUGCUAACCAGCCAGUCUAAUGAUUAGAAAGCUCCAGGUUCAGUGAGAGUCCUUGCCUCAGAAAAUAAACUAGAAAGCAAUUGAAGGAGAUACUGUGACUAACACAGACCUCUGGCAUAUAUGCAUGCAUGCACACACACUCAACAACAAAAGAGAAGAAGGCAAGAAAUUUUGGAUAUGAAAAAUCUAUACUUAACCAAAUCUUUCUCAGAAUUAUUUUCUUCUUUGAAUAAAUCUAUAACAUACAUAUUCAGAAGUUGACAUUUGUUCCAAAACAAGAAGGCUGCUGAGAUGCUUCAGCACGUUUAAGAGCUUAUAUAGUACUCUUGCAGAGGAUGUGAGUUUGACUCCCAACACGCAUGUCUGCAGGCUCAUAACUGCCUAUAGCUCCAACUCUAGGAGAUCCAGUUCUCCUGGCCUCUGUGGGCACCAGCACUCACAUGCACAUGCCCACACAUAGACACAUAAUUCAAAAUAAAUCAUUUUUAAGAAAGAAAUAACUUUACCCUAACUUGUGACUUCUAAAAUCCUACCUACCUGUUCCCCUUUUACCUCAAUACAUUGGGGUUCUACAACCCAUUCCUGAAUUUGUUAGCCAUGGUGCUCCUUGUCAAAAAUUGGGCACAUUGCUUUAACUAACAGCAAUGAGUUUGGGCUUUGUUACAGAUUUGCAAGAAUUCAUUACUUUUUGUGAAUGGAUAUGAUAUGUGUCACGUAAUUUAUGUCCUGGUAGCAAGGCAUUUUUGGUGGUAGUAGUAGUGAAAUGGACAUUCUGGUCUCCAUAUUAAAACAGAGGGCUUGCCUAUGCUUGUCAAAC
rnacentral:lncRNA from 1 species